rnacentral:tRNA from 1 species
GUUGCCAUUGGGCGAGGGCCUGUGGUGGCUGCACAGCGAACGCCAGGUGCGCCAGCCUGGCCUGGCGUUCAUUACCCCGCAGCAACCCC